GAUGAACGCUGGCGGCGUGCCUAAUACAUGCAAGUCGAGCGAAUGGAUUAAGAGCUUGCUCUUAUGAAGUUAGCGGCGGACGGGUGAGUAACACGUGGGUAACCUGCCCAUAAGACUGGGAUAACUCCGGGAAACCGGGGCUAAUACCGGAUAACAUUUUGAACCGCAUGGUUCGAAAUUGAAAGGCGGCUUCGGCUGUCACUUAUGGAUGGACCCGCGUCGCAUUAGCUAGUUGGUGAGGUAACGGCUCACCAAGGCAACGACGCGUAGCCGACCGGAGAGGGUGGUCGGCCACACUGGGACUGAGACACGGCCCAGAAUCCUACGGGAGGCAGCAGUAGGGAAUCUUCCGCAAUGGACGAAAGUCUGACGGAGCAACGCCGCGUGAGUGAUGAAGGCUUUCGGGUCGUAAAACUCUGUUGUUAGGGAAGAACAAGUGCUAGUUGAAUAAGCUGGCACCUUGACGGUACCUAACCAGAAAGCCACGGCUAACUCUGUGCCAGCAGCCGCCGUAA
rnacentral:rRNA from 1 species